GGACGAACGCUGGCGGCGUGCUUCAUACAUGCAAGUCGAACGAGAAAUUACCUUCGGGUAAUGGAAAGUGGCGGACGGGUGAGUAAUAUGUAGGAAAUCUGCCCUUAAGAGGGGGACAACAGAGGGAAACUUCUGCUAAUACCCCAUAUGAGCGUAGCUGAAAUGCUAUUCUUGAAAACUCCGGUGCUUAAGGAUGAGCCUGCAUCUGAUUAGCUAGUUGGGGGUGUAAUGGACCACCAAGGCGACGAUCAGUAGCUGGUUUGAGAGGAUGAUCAGCCACAAUGGGACUGAGACACGGCCCAUACUCCUACGGGAGGCAGCAGUAGGGAAUUUUGCGCAAUGGGCGAAAGCCUGACGCAGCAACGCCGCGUGAUUGAUGAAGCCCUUCGGGGUGUAAAGAUCUGUCAGUGGGGACGAAACUUGACGGUACCCACAGAGGAAGCAUCGGCUAACUCCGUG
rnacentral:rRNA from 1 species